rnacentral:rRNA from 1 species
UGGGGAAUAUUGCGCAAUGGGGGAAACCCUGACGCAGCAACGCCGCGUGAAUGAAGAAGGCCUUAGGGUUGUAAAGUUCUGUUUACGGGGACGAUAAUGACGGUACCCGUGGAGGAAGCCACGGCUAACUACGUGCCAGCAGCCGCGGUAAUACGUAGGUGGCAAGCGUUGUCCGGAUUUACUGGGCGUAAAGGAUGCGUAGGCGGAUGUUUAAGUGAGAUGUGAAAUACCCGGGCUCAACUUGGGUGCUGCAUUUCAAACUGGACAUCUAGAGUGCGGGAGAGGAAAGCGGAAUUCCUAGUGUAGCGGUGAAAUGCGUAGAGAUUAGGAAGAACACCAGUGGCGAAGGCGGCUUUCUGGACCGUAACUGACGCUGAGGCAUGAAAGCGUGGGGAGCAAA